GACGCUUAGAGUAUGGCCACAUGAAUGACUCAGCGCAGUAUGAAGUCUUUUUUUCUUCCGAAAACAAGCUCAAUGAGAGCCAUCGGGGGUAGAUCUAUCUCAUGACGAGUGGUGGAAUACUUUGACUCAUGAGAGAGAAGCUGAGGCGAAGGCGUCUACCUAGAGGGUUUCUGUCGAUCAAGGGCGAGAGUAGGAGUAUCCAACAGGAUUAGAGACCCUGGUAGUUCCUACCUUAAACGAUGCCGACAGGAGUUUGUCAUUUGUUAAUGGCAGAAUCUUUGGAGAAAUCAUAGUUCUUGGGCUCUGGGGGAACUACGACCGCAAGGCUGAAACUUGAAGGAAUUGACGGAAGGGCACACCAGGGGUGGAGCCUGUGGCUUAAUUUGAAUCAACACGGGGAAACUUACCAGGACCAGAUGUUUUUUAUGACUGACAGGCUUCGGGUCUUUCAGGAUAUUGUUUUUGGUGGUGCAUGGCCGUUGGUGGUGCGUGGGUUGACCUGUCUAGCGUUGAUUCAGCUAACGAGCGAGAUUAUCGCCAAUUAUUUACUUUGCCGAAGUCCUUCGGUUAAAGUUCUAAUUGGGACUCCCUGCGAUUUUAGCAGGUGGAAGAGGGUAGCAAUAACAGGUCCGUGAUGCCCUUUAGAUGCUCUGGGCUGCACGCGUGCUACAAUGUUAGGAUCAAUAGGACUGCGAGCCUGAGAGGGUGCGCUACUCUUAUAAUCCCUAACGUAGUUGGGAUUGACGUUUGUAAUCAGCGUCAUGAACCAGGAAUCCCUUGUAAAUGUGUGUCAACAACGCACGUUGAAUACGUCCCUGCCCUUUGUACACACCGCCCGUCGCUCCUACCGAUUGGAUGACUCGGUGAAAUCACCGGAUGCUUACGAGCAGA
rnacentral:ncRNA from 2 species